GAUUAUGGCUCAGGAUUAACGCUGGCGGCGUGCCUAAUACAUGCAAGUCGAAUGGUAGCAAUACCAUGGCGAACGGGUGAGUAACACGUAGGUAACCUGUCUUUAAGCCGAGGAUAACCAUUGGAAACGAUGGAUAAUACUGGAUAGGACAUUUGAAGGCAUCUUUUAAUGUUUAAAGAUUUAUCACUUAGAGAGGGGCCUGCGGCGCAUUAGCUAGUUGGUGAGGUGAAGGCUUACCAAGGCGAUGAUGCGUAGCCGGACUGAGAGGUUGAACGGCCACAAUGGAACUGAGAACGGUCCAUACUCCUACGGGAGGCAGCAGUAGGGAAUUUUCGGCAAUGGGCGGAAGCCUGAACCCGAGCAACGCCGCGUGAACGAAGAAGUAUUUCGGUAUGUAAAGUUCUUUUAUUAGGGACGAAAAGACAGAUUGACGGUACCUAAUGAAUAAGCUCCGGCUAACUACGUGCCAGCCGCAGC
rnacentral:rRNA from 1 species